GGGCCAGUAGCUCAGUUGGUUAGAGCACAGAGCUUAUACCUCUGCGGUCGUUGGUUCGAGUCCAACCUGGCCCACCA
rnacentral:tRNA from 1 species